GGGCGCAAGCCUGAUGCAGCCAUGCCGCGUGUAUGAAGAAGGCUUCGGGUUGUAAAGUACUUUCAGCAGUGAGGAAGGUGGGUAUGUUAAUAGCAUACUCAUUUGACGUUUAGCUGCAGAAGAAGCACCGGCUAACUCCGUGCCCAGCAGCCGCGGUAAUACGGAGGGUGCGAGCGUUAAUCGGAAUUACUGGGCGUAAAGCGCAUGCAGGUGGUUUGUUAAGUCAGAUGUGAAAGCCCGGGGCUCAACCUCGGAAUUGACAUUUGAAACUGGCAAACUAGAGUACUGUAGAGGGGGUAGAAUUUCAGGUGUAGCGGUGAAAUGCGUAGAGAUCUGAAGGAAUACCGGUGGCGAAGGCGGCCCCCUGGACAGAUACUGACACUCAGAUGCGAAAGCGGUGGGGAGACAAACAGGAUUAGAUACCCUGGUAG
rnacentral:rRNA from 1 species